AAGAGUAUACAUUCAGGGAUUAUUUAUAUAGGCAAUGAUGGGAGAAAUGUGCUUGAAAGUGACCAAACUUGCCAACUACAAUGAUGAGUUUAAGAGCUCUAUUCUCAGCAAGAAAGAAGUUAGUAAUUUUGUUUCAUGCAGAUGUUGUUUGCUUUUAAUGACUGUCCUACUUCUUUAUAAAGAAGUGGUAAAAGUGUGCUCAUUCAGAGUGGC